rnacentral:rRNA from 1 species
UACGUAGGGGGCGAGCGUUAUCCGGAAUAAUUGGGCGUAAAGGGUACGCAGGCGGUCUUGUAGGUUCAUGGUGACAAUCACUGGCUUAACCAGUGAAGAGCUGUGAAAACCGCAGGACUUGAGAGCGAGAGAGGGACACGGAAUUCCAGGAGGAGCAGUGAAAUGCGUAGAGAUCUGGAAGAACACCAAGGGCGAAGGCAGUGUCCUGGCUCGUUUCUGACGCUCAGGUACGAAAGCCAGGGGAG